CUCGGUGCGGCCGAGGCAUAGCUCGUGCUGCUGCGCAGCCUCACCAGGAGGACCUUGGGCCGGCGCGGGAGGGAGCUUGGCCAGCGGUGCGGCCUUACCGGGGGGGCCUCGGAGCGAUGAUGCGGCCCACUAAACUAUGCGCUAAUCCUCCGCUCAUCUUCUUUUGUCUCUCUCACUCCCUCAUCUUCAUCUAGUCAGGGCGUCGGCGAGGGAGUAUGGAGCUCUGUGCGGGGCGACGGCUGGGGGCGGAGCCCGGCGUGACGGCCACGGGGGAGCGUGGGACGUAGACGGGCAGAGCUCGGCGGGGCAACUGCGAGCAGAUCGCGGGUCGACGAAAGCGCACCCGGUAGGCUAGCAAUCAUCAAUUGAUGAUUGUGCUAAUGUUGCCCACAAUGGUGAGAUACUAUUUACUACAUAUAUUUAUCAACUUAUUGCCCUGCAUUCCUAUUAUAUGUCUGCAGGCUUAUUGAUUUGCUUGCUUGCACUUUAUGAAUGAUGUUAUUACAAUACUCCGGCCAGUCAUAUUACAAGUUGCAGAAAAAACACAUAUUACCAUGGUCAUUGGUCAUACUAGAUUGGAAGGCCUCAUUUUUAAUUGUCUUGACCUGGGUGGAUGUGGGCUGCUGUUUGCGGUUAAGAUGGCAAAUGUGGAGAACUAUACACCAGCAAGCAAAGGAUCCCAGACUCCUCCAAAAAAGGCAGCCACUAUGAUCAUUGCAACGCUAGUUCGAUUGUUCCGAAGAACCAUAUAAAGAUUGGCUCAAUUUAUACUUUCUAGACAAGCUUUUGAACCAUUAGUUUCGAUCACGCUCUAACAUGCACAAGAGGAGUUGAUGCAACCACAUAAAAAAUUGUAUGUUUUUAUCCAAUAUGUACUUAAAUGCAAGCUAUGUUGUACUGCUAUCAAUAUUACAUUUUGAUAUACAAAUAUUGUUCGCAAACUAAAUGUACUUAUAAAUGUGGAUUAACCCAAAAAGUAUU